AGAGUUUGAUCCUGGCUCAGAUUGAACGCUGGCGGCAGGCCUAACACAUGCAAGUCGAGCGGAUGACGGGAGCUUGCUCCUUGAUUCAGCGGCGGACGGGUGAGUAAUGCCUAGGAAUCUGCCUGGUAGUGGGGGACAACGUUUCGAAAGGAACGCUAAUACCGCAUACGUCCUACGGGAGAAAGCAGGGGACCUUCGGGCCUUGCGCUAUCAGAUGAGCCUAGGUCGGAUUAGCUUGUUGGUGAGGUAAUGGCUCACCAAGGCGACGAUCCGUAACUGGUCUGAGAGGAUGAUCAGUCACACUGGAACUGAGACACGGUCCANACUCCUACGGGAGGCAGCAGUGGGGAAUAUUGGACCAUGGGCGAAAGCCUGAUCCAGCCAUGCCGGGUGUGUGAAAAACGGUCUUCCGGAUUGUUAACCCUUUAAGUUGGGAGGAAGGGUUGUACAUUAUUACUCUGCCAUUUUGACGUUGCCGACGGAAUA
rnacentral:rRNA from 1 species